AUUGAACGCUGGCGGCAGGCUUAACACAUGCAAGUCGAGCGGAGGUGAGGUGCUUGCACCUUAUCUUAGCGGCGGACGGGUGAGUAAUGCUUAGGAAUCUGCCUAUUAGUGGGGGACAACAUUCCGAAAGGAAUGCUAAUACCGCAUACGUCCUACGGGAGAAAGCAGGGGAUCUUCGGACCUUGCGCUAAUAGAUGAGCCUAAGUUGGAUUAGCUAGUUGGUGGGGUAAGGGCCUACCAAGGCGACGAUCUGUAGCGGGUCUGAGAGGAUGAUCCGCCACACUGGGACUGAGACACGGCCCAGACUCCUACGGGAGGCAGCAGUGGGGAAUAUUGGACAAUGGGGGGAACCCUGAUCCAGCCAUGCCGCGUGUGUGAAGAAGGCCUUAUGGUUGUAAAGCACUUUAAGCGAGGAGGAGGCUACUGAGACUAAUACUCUUGGAUAGUGGACGUUACUCGCAGAAUAAGCACCGGCUAACUCUGUGCCAGCCGCCGCGGUAAGAC
rnacentral:rRNA from 1 species